rnacentral:rRNA from 1 species
ACGGGGGGUGCGAGCGUUGUCCGGAAUCACUGGGCGUAAAGGGCGCGUAGGUGGUUUGAUAAGGGUGUGGUGAAAGUCCGGGGCUCAACCCCGGAUCUGCCGUGCCGACUGUCAAACUCGAGGGCUGUAGAGGCAGACGGAAUUCCGGGUGUAGCGGUGGAAUGCGUAGAUAUCAUUUGGAACGCCAACGGCGAAAGCAGGCAGCUGGGGAUGCACCGACGCUGAGACACGAAAGCCAGGGGAGCGAACGGGA